AUUCAUGACUGCCUCUGAGAAGAAGAUUAGGCAACUGAUGGAGUUUUAUCUGACCAAAGCUUGUUUGCAGCUUUCAGAUCUUGUUAGAUCCCCACGUCUAUUUAUGAUCAGUUUGGAGAGAAUUGCCAUACCAAGAUGCUAUGUUCUGAAAGUGCUAAUCUCUAAGGGAUUAAUUAAGAAGAAUGUGAGUGUUGCUUGGGCAUUGAAUAUGACGAAGAAACAGUUUGAGGACAGGUAUUUUACUUGCUUCAAGGAGGAUUACCCUGAAUUGAUCCAGGCAUACCAGGU
rnacentral:misc_RNA from 1 species